CGUGCAGGCGGGCCGGCAAGUCUGAUGUGAAAGCCCCGGGCUCAACCUGGGAAGUGCAUUGGAAACUGCUGGUCUUGAGUUCUGGAGAGGAAGGGGGAAUUCCCGGUGUAGAGGUGAAAUUCGUAGAGAUCGGGAGGAAUACCAGUGGCGAAGGCGCCCUUCUGGACGGCAACUGACGCUGAGACGCGAAAGCGUGGGGAGCAAACAGGAUUAGAUACCCUGGUAGUCCACGCUGUAAACGAUGAGCACUAGGUGUAGCGGGUACUCAUUCCUGCUGUGCCGCAGCUAACGCGUUAAGUGCUCCGCCUGGGGAUUACGGUCGCAAGACUAAA
rnacentral:rRNA from 1 species